UAGAUAUCACCAAGAAUACCCAUUGCGAAGGCGAUCUGCUGGAACUCAACUGACGCUAAGGCGCGAAAGCGUGGGGAGCAAACAGGAUUAGAUACCCUGGUAGUCCACGCCCUAAACGAUGUACACUAGUUGUUGGGGUGCUAGUCAUCUCAGUAAUGCAGCUAACGCAUUAAGUGUACCGCCUGGGGAGUACGGUCGCAAGAUUAAAACUCAAAGGAAUAGACGGGGACCCGCACAAGCGGUGGAGCAUGUGGUUUAAUUCGAAGAUACGCGAAGAACCUUACCUGGGCUUGAUAUCCUAAGAACCUCUUAGAGAUAAGAGGGUGCUAGCUUGCUAGAACUUAGAGACAGGUGCUGCACGGCUGUCGUCAGCUCGUGUCGUGAGAUGUUGGGUUAAGUCCCGCAACGAGCGCAACCCACGUAUUUAGUUGCUAACGGUUCGGCCGAGCACUCUAAAUAGACUGCCUUCGUAAGGAGGAGGAAGGUGUGGACGACGUCAAGUCAUCAUGGCCCUUAUGCCCAGGGCGACACACGUGCUACAAUGGCAUAUACAAUGAGACGCAAUACCGCGAGGUGGAGCAAAUCUAUAAAAUAUGUCCCAGUUCGGAUUGUUCUCUGCAACUCGAGAGCAUGAAGCCGGAAUCGCUAGUAAUCGUAGAUCAGCCAUGCUACGGUGAAUACGUUCCCGGGUCUUGUACUCACCGCCCGUCACACCAUGGGAGUUGAUUUCACUCGAAGCCGGAAUACUAAACUAGUUACCGUCCACAGUGGAAUCAGCGACUGGGGUGAAGUCGUAACAAGGUAACCGUAGGAGAACCUGCGGUUGGAUCACCUCCUUUCUA
rnacentral:rRNA from 1 species